GGUUGACCUCGGAUCAGGUAGGAU
rnacentral:rRNA from 2 species